AACCUGCAACAUUCUGUAUGUAUGUAUGUGCAUGUCCCAGGUCAAGAGCCUAUAAUUCAGUGGUGGUUGUUUAUUGAAAUGUUACAUAAAUUCGGCUGUAAGUUUUCUAGUUUGAAUUGGUUUAGAUUUGUCAUUUCAGUGCCAUUUAUAGCCGAUCAUGCAGUAUGGGUUUUGCUCAUUGUUGAAGGUGAUACUGUGACUUAUAGUAGUUAAUUUCUGUGUCAUUUGGUCUCAUUGGCAAUUAUACUACAUCUUUUUUGUAUUUUGUUAAAUUUUAUAUUGGAACAGUGUUUUGAGAUGAUUUUCUUUCUUAAAAUAGCCAUCUAGCUUAAAACAAGUGACAACUUGUCAUUUCGUU
rnacentral:lncRNA from 1 species